UACAGAGGUCCCAAGCGUUGUUCGGAUUCACUGGGCGUAAAGGGUGCGUAGGCGGUCGGGUAAGUCUGUCGUGAAAGCCCCGGGCUCAACCUGGGAAUGGCGAUGGAUACUGGCGAGCUAGAGUACGGUAGAGGAGAGUGGAAUUCCCGGUGUAGCAGUGAAAUGCGUAGAGAUCGGGAGGAACAUCAGUUGCGAAGGCGGCUCUCUGGACCAGCACUGACACUGAGGCACGAAAGCGUGGGGAGCAAACAGG
rnacentral:rRNA from 1 species